UUGUCCUAUGUUGCCAGCGGGUAAUGCCGGGGACUCGUAGGAGACUGCCGGGGUCAACUCGGAGGAAGGUGGGGAUGACGUCAAGUCAUCAUGCCCCUUAUGUCCAGGGCUGCAAACAUGCUACAAUGGCCGGUACAAAGAGCUGCAAUCCCGCGAGGGUGAGCGAAUCUCAAAAAGCCGGUCUCAGUUCGGAUCGAAGUCUGCAACUCGACUUCGUGAAGCCGGAGUCGCUAGUAAUCCCGGAUCAGCUACGCCGGGGUGAAUACGUUCCCGGGCCUU
rnacentral:rRNA from 1 species